rnacentral:piRNA from 1 species
CCCUAAAUCUUGUGUCUCUGGA